GGCUAAGUCACGUGUGGUGAACCCUAUGGCAUGGCGUUCACCCUGCGGAGGGCCUUUUGUCAUAUGUCUGUUUUUUGGAUGCCCGGAGCUGUGGUUGCUCUGAAAAUUCACCCUGCCAAUAAUGUCCAAAAGGCAGUCAGAGAUUGCCUCCGUGUUUGGUUCUGCUCCCUACAACCUGAUCUGUUCAGGGUCAGAUUCUAUCAUGCAUACUGUAAAAGCUUCCACUCAGAAAACGGAAAUGACCUUCAUCCAGUCGGUGAGCCAUGGUUCUCUCAAGCACAGGUAAAGAGUCAUAUUUGGACAGACUGAGCCUGGCACAGAUGACCCAACUUUUCCUAACCUCUGUCCUAGAGUGUCCUUUCUAUAAGGGCCCCAAACUCCUUCCUAAAUAUCAAGUGAAGUCAUUCCUCACUCCAUGCUGCUCCCUGGAGACGCCCAUGGAUCUCCAUCUUUAUAAGUCUGUGGUGAUUGGACUGAUUGAUCUUUUAGGAUCAAGAUUGUAUUUUGCUUCAAAAGUGUUGACACCCUAUUAUUAUACCAUAGGUAAGUAACUAGGGGCUUGUUUUGUCAGAAGCAUCCUGUCCAUGUCGUGGCCAGACAUCUGUGAGAUGCAGGACAGAACCUUCCCUCUCCUGAAGGCGAGCAGAAGGAGAGGUCAGCAGAGGCCUGGCCAGGAGAACCAGGACUCUA
rnacentral:lncRNA from 1 species